CCUGCUGCCUGUUGGUUACCAUUGGAUCAAAAUAUGCGGUCCAGAUAGGAGUCCAGUCCCCACCCGAGCGAGGCGGCGGCGGAACUCCCGGCCUCCGGCGAACCCAGCAGCCGCCACCUCUCGCGGCUCCAAUCACACAGACCAGAUGAUGGCCGCGGCGGCCGUCUACCGGCGGGUGCUCAAGGCGGUGCAGAAGCACGUCGGCGGGGGCGACUCCAAGAAGCACUUCCGCGAGUUCGUCGCCUCCGAGUUCCGCCGCCCCACUGGCACGGACGCCGACGCCAGAGCGCGGCUGCGGCUCGCCGGGGAUUACACCUACCUCCUCGCCAGCGUCCACCACCACAAGGACCUGCUAUUCUCGUAUAAUAUAGCUGUGGACCGAUCAGAGGAGAUGAAGAAGAUAUUGAACAAAUCUGCUGCUAGUGUAGGCCUUCAGCUUCCAGAUGUCUAUCAGGCGUGAGGAACUUCAUUUUUGCAGAAAUGUGCAAUCUUUGUUGUUGCAGAUGGAGCAAUGUGAGGAUCGCGGUGGGCGGUACCUUAGGCAGGUCUCGCAAAACUUCACCUUCACCGUGAAGCCAUUGACUGUAACAUCCUUUGCCCUACGGAACCUCAUCCGUGGAGUUCUCCCUGAGCUCCACUCCAUCGAUGGUGUGGUUGAGCCAAGAAAUUCAUCGGCUUCAGGUGGUGCUCUUGUGUUCCUUGGCACUAUCCCUGGGUCCCUGGCUGAUGUCAUGAAUAGGAAGAAAAGGUCCUGCAAUUUUGAAGCUGUGCAGCUCGACGCAUCCGUUGUUGAGAGCGGUGGAUUGUGGACUCCAUCUGGUAGCUGAAGACGAUGGCCGGGCCAAGGAUGAGGAACAUGGACAACAGCAGGGAGGCUGCAUCCGGGCCAAUAAUAAGGCGUCCACCACACAAGAAUAUCUGCAAAAUGAAGGAAAACCAGUCUACCUCUCAGCUAUGAAGUUGAAGAAGCUGAAGCCAGAUCGCUGGAGCAAGAAAGAAAGAAAGAAAGAGCAGGCACGUUGUUUCCCUUCCAGACUUGGUAGAGCCUCUUGGGCUUGGCGUGCAGCUGCUGUGGGUCAUUAGCCUCGAACUCCUGUGAUGACGCCAUGAUCAUGAUUCAUGGCAGCAUGGCCUCCUCGCUGCUGCUGGUUGCAUUGAGGGUGUUAUGUGCCUGUGCUU